CUGGCGGCGUGCCUAACACAUGCAAGUCGCACGAGAAAGUGGAGCAAUCCAUGAGUAAAGUGGCGCACGGGUGAGUAACACGUGAAUCAUCUACCUCCGAGUGGGGAAUAACCUAGAGAAAUCUGGGCUAAUACCGCAUAACACUUACGAGUCAAAGCAGCAAUGCGCUUGGAGAGGAGUUCGCGGCCGAUUAGUUAGUUGGCGGGGUAAUGGCCCACCAAGACGAUGAUCGGUAUCCGGCCUGAGAGGGCGCCCGGACACACUGGAACUGAAACACGGUCCAGACUCCUACGGGGGGCAGCAGUGGGGAAUUUUGCGCAAUGGGGGAAACCCUGACGCAGCAACGCCGCGUGGAGGAUGAAAUCCCUUGGGAUGUAAACUCCUUUCGAUCGGGACGAUUAUGACGGUACCGGAAGAAGAAGCCCCGGCUAACUUCGUGCCAGCAGCCGCGGUAAUACGAGGGGGCAAGCGUUGUUCGGAAUUAUUGGGCGUAAAGGGCGCGUAGGCGGUUUGGCAAGUCUGAUGUGAAAUCUCUGGGCUCAACUCAGAGUCUGCAUCGGAAACUGCCGGGCUUGAGUAUGGGAGAGGUGCGUGGAAUUUCCGGUGUAGCGGUGAAAUGCGUAAAUAUCGGAAGGAACACCUGUGGCGAAAGCGGCGCACUGGACC
rnacentral:rRNA from 1 species